rnacentral:rRNA from 1 species
AUUGAACGCUGGCGGCAUGCCUUACACAUGCAAGUCGAACGGUAACAGGUCUUCGGAUGCUGACGAGUGGCGAACGGGUGAGUAAUACAUCGGAACGUGCCCGAUCGUGGGGGAUAACGAGGCGAAAGCUUUGCUAAUACCGCAUACGAUCUUCGGAUGAAAGCGGGGGAUCUUCGGACCUCGCGCGGACGGAGCGGCCGAUGGCAGAUUAGGUAGUUGGUGGGAUAAAAGCUUACCAAGCCGACGAUCUGUAGCUGGUCUGAGAGGAUGAUCAGCCACACUGGGACUGAGACACGGCCCAGACUCCUACGGGAGGCAGCAGUGGGGAAUUUUGGACAAUGGGCGAAAGCCUGAUCCAGCCAUGCCGCGUGCAGGAUGAAGGCCUUCGGGUUGUAAACUGCUUUUGUACGGAACGAAAAGCCUCUUUCUAAUAAAGAGAGGUCAUGACGGUACCGUAAGAAUAAGCACCGGCUAACUACGUG